GCCAAUUACUGUGGGCCCUUUUUACCUAACCAACCCUGUCAACUUUCCCUGUGGGAGGAAACCGGAGUACCCGGGGAAACCCACGGCUUUCGGCAGAGCGUUGACUUUUACUCUUUUCACAUGGGGACUGGGUUCGAGUCGCAUUGAGAAGGUACUUAGUGAGACUCGAACCUGCAGCCUCAGAGGUGAAAGGCAAGUGCGCUAACCACUUGGCCACCGAAG
rnacentral:lncRNA from 1 species